CAUUAUUUUAGGGUUAUAUUUGGCCUAUGGCACAUGGCUGGGGAUGGCCUAAGUAGCCUGCUUGGAGAGUUAAAAGGCCAAAUGUGACACUAUAAAUUUGGCCAAAUUUUUUGUUAGCCCGUAAUUAGAGAUGUGUUUUGUAUUAUUUUAAAGCUAAAUUUGGCCUAUGGUUCAUAACUAAAAAUGGCCUAAGGCAACCUCAUUUCAAAGGUUGACGAAAAGAAAAAUUAUUAGUGCUAAUUUUGGACCGGCCACGCACAUAUAUUAGCGCAGCCUAGGAAGCAAGAAUUAGCCCAACCCACUCUAUUCACUCAACCACUCUCAUGAGGAAGAACGUUGAAGUUUUCUCAUUCUUAAGAAGAAAUGAAUGAAAAUUCACUUAAAUAUUUAUGUGGAUGAGAUAUCAG
rnacentral:lncRNA from 1 species